CCUUAAUAAUAAGAUCCAUACUAACAUGUAUAAUAAGCUCCAUACUAAUAUCCAACUUAACUAAUAGCUAAGUUUUAAAAGUUUUGUCAUUGAAAGCAUGUACAAUCUAAGCAUUUCCAUUACAGUAGAUAGUUAUUUUAAACAUUUUGUAAAAAUGAUUGUUAAAAAUGGUCAGGGAAAUUCAUCUGAUUUUUCAAAAAAGUCAUUGAUUUUUAUAUAAAUUAUUGGCUACGAACCCUGUUGGAGAAACAUUGUUUUAAUAUGAAUUUUUUUGUUGUACAGUGCAAUCUGUAUUUUAUAAGAAACACAAAACAAUUCUUGUUAAUGUGUAAACUUAAACAUUAACGAAAAUUGUUUUGUGUCAGUGCCAGAAAUUAAAUGCACACCUGCAAAUUUCAUAAUUCAUAAAAAUAUUAUGAAUCCAUUAGCAAAUAAAGUUGUAUCCUUGAAAGAUAUGCUGGUAUUAUUGGCACAAUGGGCAAGCAUUGAAGUGCAACUUGGUGAAAUACAAAACACAUCAAAUUCAGUUAUAAAAAUUUGAGUAACAAAGGUCAAUUAUUUGGCACAAUUUGGACUUAAAGACAAAGGAGAUUGUAUAUGUUAUUUACUAAGAAUUGUUUUUUAAAAUGGCAUAGCUGUAAAAUUAAACUAUACAGGGAGAGGACAAAAAAUUGGAAUAAGAAAAAUGUUGAUUGCAUAUG